rnacentral:rRNA from 1 species
GCCAGACUCCUACGGGAGGCAGCAGUAGGGAAUAUUGCUCAAUGGGGGAAACCCUGAAGCAGCAACGCCGCGUGGAGGAUGAAGGUUUUCGGAUUGUAAACUCCUUUUGUUAGAGAAGAAAAUGACGGUACCUGAAGAAGAAGCCCCGGCUAACUACGUGCCAGCAGCCGCGGUAAUACGUAGGGGGCAAGCGUUAUCCGGAUUUACUGGGUGUAAAGGGGGCGCAGACGGCGAUGCAAGCCAGGAGUGAAAGCCCGGGGCCCAACCCCGGGACUGCUCUUGGAACUGCGUGGCUGGAGUGCAGGAGGGGCAGGCGGAAUUCCUGGUGUAGCGGUGAAAUGCGUAGAUAUCAGGAGGAACACCGGUGGCGAAGGCGGCCUGCUGGACUGCAACUGACGUUGAGGCCCGAAAGCGUGGGGAGCAAACAGGAUUAGAUACCCCGGUAU